rfam:Brachypodium distachyon strain Bd21 chromosome 1, whole genome shotgun sequence.
UUUUUACUUCCUCCAUCCAGCAAAACAUGUCUCAAGUUUGACAAAAUUUAGAUGUAUCUAAACAUAAGUUAGUAUAUAUAUGCAUUCAAAUUUAGUUAAAAUUGAGACAUCUUUUAUUGGACGGAGGGAGUAUGAA